rnacentral:rRNA from 1 species
GAUGAACGCUGGCGGCGUGCCUAACACAUGCAAGUCGAGCGGAGAUGAUUCGAGUACUUGUACAAAGAUCAUCUUAGCGGCGGACGGGUGAGUAACACGUGAGUAAUCUGCCUUUAACUGGGGAGUAACACAGUGAAAAUUGUGCUAAUACCGCAUGAUGUUGCGAGGGGGCAUCCCUUUGCAACCAAAGGAGCAAUUCGGUUAAAGAUGAACUCACGUCCGAUUAGGUAGUUGGUGAGGUAACGGCCCACCAGGCCGACGAUCGGUAGACGAACUGAGAGGUUGAUCGGCCACAUUGGGACUGAGACACGGCCCAGACUCCUACGGGAGGCAGAAGUGGGGAAUAUUGGGCAAUGGGCGCAAGCCUGACCCAGCAACGCCGCGUGAAGGACGAAGGCCUUCGGGUUGUAAACUUCUUUGAUCAGGGACGAUAAUGACGGUACCUGAAGAACAAGCCACGGCUAACUACGUGCCAGCCGCCGCAGUAAUAC